GCAACCCGCUGGGUCAUACUGAGCAGAUCUCUGGCGUGUUUCCGUUUAUUCAGUCUCUGCGUUCUUUACGCGGUGGAACCAUCGAGUGAGCGUCUCGUCCAGUGGCGCUACUCCGUUGGCUCCUAUCCUGCUUUGUGCGCCUCAGCGCGCACGCACGCACGCGCCUCCUCUCCUUCUCAGCGCAGCCCAGUGCUCCAUACUGGGAUUGCGCCAGCAGAGGAGGCAGAGCAUGGCAGUGGCGUUACCCAUUCCACCCCCAGCUGCAGAGUAGCUCUGCGGUGGAAGAAAGCCCUGCUACACGCUGAUCCCACGGAGCUUCACCUACACUAGUUAGUUACAAUCACGGAACGAGACCACGUGUCACCCACGUGCUGCAGUGACGCGCUGGACCUGAAGCUUGUGUGUUCUCUGUCCUUCCUGCAGCGCGUGGAGCUCGACCCGUUUGGAGAGAAGCUGUCGGGAGGAGGUCUCCAGUCGAAGCCCCUCAGCUUGUCUUCAUCAGACGUUUUAUGGAAGAGGGUUAUAACGUUACACAGUAUGUUGAGUGAAAAUAAAGUGACUAAAUAAA